UUAGAAGAGUACGAGAAAAAGAAGGCAAGCUGUUGGCACAACAUUGAUAUAGAGUUCAUGACUUCUCUGUGAGGCUUUUGCAGAAACCUUUCCCUGAUGGAUAAGCUGAUUGUGCUGGUUCUCUUGUGUGGUUUGAUGAGAAGUGGUAGCAGAUCUCUAGGGUCUUUCUCAGGGUCAGUGUGUAAAUUCUCAUGUACAUCAUGAUGCAGAAACCCCCCUUUGGAUACCCCUUCCUACAAGUUAGUAAUUUUCUCCUUCAAGAAAUUGUAUUUGUAUUAUAAAAAUUGUCUAUUUUAGGUUCUUGCUUAGUCUUAAAAACUACGUAAGGAAUAGACAUUAUCCAGAAGGUGCGAUUGCAGAGGGACGUUGGAUAGACGAGUUAAUGACGUUUUGCUCAUGGUAUUUAGAUGACGUGGAGACUAAGUUUAAUCGACCUUUAAGAAAUGAUGUUUUAUCUAAUGAAACAACAGACCAAGAGGGUCGUCGAUCAAGUAGAGAGAAAGGAUUUAAGCUUGAUACAUUACACGUGCUCAAGCCCACAUAUAUGUUUUAUUUAAUUCUACCUCCACAACUUCAUAUCGUGAUGAACAUAUAAAAGAAAUCAAGAAGGAAAAUCAUCGUCUAUCAAGACAUAAUGUGGAUCGAAUUCAUAAUGAAAGAUUUCAACUAUGGUUUAGAAAUCAUGUCGAGAAGAUGCAUAUGGCUAGUGAACAAAUUUCCGAGGAUAUUCAAACUUUAACUAUUGGCCCAUUAAUACAAGCAAAAAUAAUGACCGGCUAUAUAUGUGAUAGAGUUAGAUACUUAACAGAGUCUCGUGAUGUUAAGAGAAAAACUCAAAAUAGUGGUCUUAUGUUAAAGGCUUUCACUCAAAGUUAUGCAAGCACAAAAGAUAAAAAUCCCAUAUUGGCAGAGGUUUCUUUUUAUGGAAUCCUCACAGACAUAAUUGAGUUAUAUUAUACCAAGCAUCUCAAGUUUGUAUUGUUUAAAUGUAAAUGGGUGAACAAUAACAAAGGGCUUAUUGAGAAAGAUGAUUAUGGAUUUACUCUUGUGAAUUUUAAUCAUCUACUCUAUACAAGACAUCAGUUAUCGGAUGAACCAUUCAUCUUUGCUUCUCAAGAUCAACAAGUGUUUUAUGUCGAUCAUCCUAUGGAAAAGGAGUGGCGAAUUGUUGUUAAACUUAAGCCAAGAGGUUUUUAUGAUUUAGGUGAUAACACACCAACAAUUGAGCAUAAGGAAGGACAUAUGGAGUUGUGGCCUGAACAACAAUUGGAUGACACAACAUUUGAAAGUGAAGAAGACAUUGAAUGGGUUAGAGAAGGAGUACCAGGAUUAGAAAUUGACCCAGAAACUUUGGAAAGUAAUGAAGCAUAUGAUUAAGAUGACAACAUAUCUUAAUUUUUGUUACUAUAGUAGUAUAAUCGCUAUUUAAGUACAACUGAUUGUUGAACAAUAAUGACUUUGAUGUUUUUUACUCUUCAUUCAGUUGUUAAAAUCUCAUAUGUUUAUAUGUCUUAUUAUUUGACAUGAUAGUUAGAUAUUAUUUUAUACUUUUGUAUAGUAGAAACUACUUUAAAUUUGGCAGGAUUCAUAGCUGUUGAGGAACUUUGUUGAAAUGGCAAGAAAAAGACAGAAAUUUUAGUCAAUGUGAGCUUUUAUAUGAUUCUUUGGAGCAACAAAAACAACAAAUCGGAAGUAUUCCAAUGCCUCAACCGCCCCAAAAUUGGCCACAAAAUGAAAGAGAUAAAUCACAUGAUACAGAAAAUCUUCUAGAUUCUAAUGAGAGUGAAGAGCAAUCUAAGUGAACUAGGGGUCCCACUAUGAUGCACUCGGGAUGGGGAAAGAAGGUGGAAAUUUACAUAUUGAAUUGAAUGCACAUGGCCAAGUUAUUGGGUUAGAAGGAACUAGAUUGAGUUCAAAACUUGGUGUGCUAGCACGAAAUGGCAUCUUAGCGCCAUUGAAUCAUAAAGAUUGGAGGCUUGUACCUAGUAUGUACAAGGAUAGAUUAUGGUCUCAUAUCAAGGAAAAUACUGACACAACUGAUGACAUGAAACGCAUACUGAUGAUGUCAUUUGGAUCUAAAUGGAAAGAAUCAAAGCAUGAAGUAAAAACCAUUGGCUAUGACCCAUAUAACAUUGAUAUUGAGCGUUUAGCUCAUUGUCCAGAUAGAGUUGAAGAAGAUCAGUGGCGCUCAUUAGUUCAUUAUUGGAGCUCAAAAGAAGCAAAGAAACAAAUGGAUGAUCUUGCCGAGGUGUAUCCUGAGUUGAAUGUCCCUGGAAGUGCUCCUAAUGAUGUGUACUAACAAGUAAUGGGAUCAGACACUCAUGGAAUUGUCCGAACUCUAGGAAAAGGAGCAUCUCCUAGCUUAGUAUAUGGCCCCGUAUAUAAACGAUCUCAGGCUGAAAAAAGAUAUUUUGAUUCAAGGGUUGAGAUGGAAGUUCAAAAAGCUACCUCGGCUAAGAAAAUUGAGAUGACAGAGAAGAUGUAUGAAGCAAAAAAAGAGAUGGAAGCGAUGGAUAAAAAGUUGUUAGAAGCGAAAGAGGAAACAAAAGAGAAUAAGGAAGUGAUGGAGAGAACACUAUCAGAAGCAAAAAUGGAUAUGGAAGAAAUUAUAGAGGAUAAAGUAAAGGAAGGAAUACAAGCAUAUGUAGAGUCUUUGGGAAUUAAUAUUGAUGCAAAUUUAAAAUCAGAGUAGGUUCCUGAUAACCCACUUGAAGAUUGUCAACAACCAUCAUCACUUGUUCCAGGUGUUCACACAAGAAAGGCUAACAUGAUCAAGAGGACUGGAACUACCGUAGUUGGCACAAAUAAAAAGAAGUGGAGCUUUUAAGGAAAUUGAGGUCAAGUAUCGACUUCAUGAACAUGCUCGACUUUUGGAUUGAUGAUUUCAUAAAGAUUUAUUGACAAUUUACUAAGAGAUUUUAAUUUCAUUUGAAUUAGGAGUUAAUUAGUUGGUUUUAUGUUGAGAUUAUUGCAUUUAGUUAGAUCUCAAUUUUACUUGAGAUAGAAAAGAUAAUUUGUUCUGACAUUGUUUACUUUUACAUAAAACUUAUUAUAUUGCUAUUUUGUU